rnacentral:rRNA from 1 species
UACUCCUACGGGACGCAGCAGUGAGGAAUAUUGGUCAAUGGGCUUACGCCUGAACCAGCCAAGUCGCGUGAGGGGAGACUGCCCUAUGGGUUGUAAACCUCUUUUGUCAGGGAGCAACGCCGGCUACGUGUAGCCGGACUGAGAGUACCUGAAGAAAAAGCAUCGGCUAACUCCGCGCCAGCAGCAGCGGUAAUACGUAUGGUGCAAGCGUUAUCCGGAUUUACUGGGGGUAAAGGGAGCGUAGGCGGCGCGUUAAGUCUGAUGUGAAAACCCGAGGCUCAACCACGGGAGUGCAUUGGAAACUG